rnacentral:lncRNA from 1 species
GCUUCAUUCCCGCGGUUCAAAUCAGAUAAGAUACAACAUGUUUGCAGUGACUACUCGUCUAAUUUGUCGGUAUGAUAGCGCCAUGUGUCUGGUUAGUUUAAAAAAAAUGACGGCUAGGGCUGGAUAAUGAAAUAACAGCACCCUUUAUCGUCAGUUAAAAGAACAGUAGGCCUAAAUUAAACUCUAAAGACUUUAUUUACACUAAAUACGACCUAUUUUGGAGGACUUGCUGAUGUAAUGUAAGUGUAAUAGGCUAAUUCUGCAUAAAUUAUUAACGUUACUUUUUUGUUUGUGAUAUGUUUGUAGCCUGUACGUUUUGUACACUAAUGUACAACAUGCUUAAUUUUGCUUGUAUUUUAAUCUAGGUCCCACCUGCUUACAUUAUCCAAAUGUCCUACAUUUAGACAGACUGACAGUUUAGAUGAGGUAGUGAAUGAGUUGUUUCUGUCUCUUUGAAAAAUGUGCUCAAGGUCUUCAGAAACUCCUUCAUAUGUCUUCGGUCGCCCAGAGAUAUGGAUUAAUGGCUUGUUGUCAUCUGUGGGCACUGUGUGGUUCUAAACACGUCAGAUGUGGUGGUGUUGGAGCAAGGACUGACCUGCAGCUGGGCUGAAAGAAGCGUGACUGACAUGUGCCUUACAUCAGUGGAGGAUGAUGGACAAGAGAUGCAGCUCAGCCACAUUCCUUCUCUCUCUCGCUCUCUCUGUGAACCAGAGCGAGGUGAGCGAGGACUGAAGCGUCGCUCCAGUUCUGUCCUGUUCCCAGCUCUCCUCUCUCCCACACAGAGACCCACACCCAGCCCAGUCCAUCUGCACCGACAGGCACCUCAGCUGGGCGAGCGGCAGCACCAGCCUCCCUCUUCUGUUCAGACUUCAGCCAUGCCAACAAAGUGCCUCCAGCACUUAAAGCCCCAAGCGUUACAGAUGAAGGCAGAUCCGCUGUAGUGACACCGUUCAUCAAGAGAGCCGCUUUACGUGGGCUCCGUUUGUUUGCUGCACAGAGAUGUGCUGAGUAGCUGGCCGUCUUUAAUGUGUGCAGACGGCGACGGAGAGACAUGAGCCAAUCCAGCCAUCUUGUACUGAGGAUUCAGGGCUGGACAAGCGUUUGCCAUCUGUAGCUGCGGCAAUGCGUGAGUCUGCAGCCAGCCCACAUUGUGUCAGCAGCAGCCCUGGUACUGAGAAUUUUUUUUUUUUCUUUUUUAAGAUGGCUUUCGAGAUGUCUCACCCCUUUCUGUUGUACACUAUCACCCACUAAUGGAGCAUGAACUUUUAUGGGGUGACAUCAAUUACUUCAAAAGAUUUAAUGAGUGUAAAUGAUUUAUCUUAAGUGCAAAAGAGGAACCGGGAAAGAGCUCAUUAUGUAGUCAGUGAUUAUCACCUGCAUAUUAAGUGUUGUUAAUAGUUAUGGAAAUCCUUGGGUUACACUACACUGGAAGUGUCAUUGUGGGGGCUCAACAUGCCUGAAAAUCUUCAAUAAUGAGGCCAUUGUUUGGGCAGAAAUUGUGAACGUUUAUUUUUAAGCAUUUAAAAUGAUAGCUGGAGUGAGCGCUGGGAUAUUUAAACACUUUGUGACGGUGACAUCAUGAUGGACUGUUUACAUUAUAAUGUCUGAUAUCAUAAAAUGUCUUAUUUGUUUUAUGCAACAGUUAAACAUGGCUGCUCACUUUCAGAAGUUGUAGUGAUGUUUACUUUUCCAGGAAAUAAUAUGAAACAUAUGUUGGUUAAAACAUUUUAAAUGUAAACAUUACCAUUCACCAGAGUAAUGCUGAGGUCAAAGAGCUUAGAAUGACCAAGAGGCGACACUCAAUAGAAUGUUCCAUUGCAAAAGCAGCGCCCAGCAACAUUCCCGGAUUCCGCCAUUUUGGAGUGAAUUCGAUCGGCUGUCCAUCAAAUCUUAUUGGUUUCAUGAUGGCAAGCAGAUGCUUGGUUUUUUAUUUAUUUUAAAAAAGAGCAUUAAAACUGAGAUACAACCUGAAAGACGACAAUAAAACACUUACUAUCACAAUCAUCUGCACUUUUAAUAGUUUAUUUUGCAGAUUUAUAAUAUGCUGUUGCUUUAUUGGAAUUUUCAUUCCAAAAUGGCCGCCGUGCCAUCUAGUGGCUGUUUCCCAAAUCGCACUGGAGUGUCGCCUCUUGGUGAUUCUAUGCUUUUUUGAUUUUUAAGGCUUGGUUGUGUUUAUAAGAUGCAAAGCAAUGUGUCACAUCACAUUAUUUUUUAUAUAUCUGACUUUGAUUAUAUGCUGCUACUCAGCUAACAUGAAAAUGAUUGUCAUAUUUCCUUGUUUCUCCACAAGACCACCCUCAAGAGGCUUUGAUUGGUCAGCUAACAUAAUGUGAUUAGUGAAUUUGCUCAAUGCCUCCAAUAGCACAGUGUAUGCCUCUUUUGUGUCAGUCAGAGUAGCUGUUAGCUGUAUCAGUUUGAGCUUGAUUGAGACAGAAUGAAGAGGACAGUGCUGAACCUCAUUUCUUCUCUCUAAAAUACAAACUGACAAGUGUCUUUCACAUAUGUUCGUAAUAAGCUUGUGUAAGUAAAAUUAAACGUUCACAUAUCUUUUGUGAGUUUGUUAUUUGAGAUGCAGAAUGCAGGGAAAGUGGCUGCGUAGACAGACACUGCAGUGCUGGGGAAGAUUGUGGGUGUUUAUAGGGAUUUGGAUGGAUAAAUAUGAAUUUGUAGAUAAAGUGUAACAGUGCCAAACAGCAUUUCCCAUAGUUUACAUCCUUGUUUAUGUCCUUGCUAA